rnacentral:rRNA from 1 species
AUGGAUCUUAAAAAAAAGAAGCCUUUCACACUGAUGCAUUGCUAUGUAGAGUUUUCGAAGUAUCCAAAGUGGCAGACAAGAGAAGUUGAAACUUCUCUUAAGAAACAAAAAAAGACCAUUGAUGCAAGUCCGGGCACAGCCACCAAUGAUCUGGGUGAUGCAUCCUCGAUACGUACUGAUGCUACCUCGAUACGCACUGAUGCUCUUGAACAUGAGAAAAGACCUGAUGGUGUGAAGAAGGAUAAGAGAGGUAAAGCUGAUGACAGUGCUUGCAAACUGUCAUUAGAAACUGUGUGGGCAGCAAAGCUAGAGAAGGAUGAGAUCAAAGAGGCGGCAAGAAAUGCUCGCUACGCACAGCAAUUGGAAUUGCGAAAAGAGGAGAUUGCACUCAAAAAGAAUGAAGAUGCACGAAAUGGGAGGGAGGAGGAGAUUGCACUCAAAAAGAAUGAAGAUGCACGAAAUGAGAGGGAGGAUGCACGGAGACAGUUUGAAUUAGAUGAGAGGGUCAUGCUCAUCGACACUAGUGGUAUGACUAAUGUGCUAAAGCAGUUCUACCAAGAUAAGCAGAAGGAGAUCCUUGCUCGCGGCUUAGGUGCAGUCUUGGGAGUCAUGUAUGCAUAUGAAGCAAUACAGCAUGGGCCACUGUAA